rnacentral:rRNA from 1 species
UACGUAGGGACCGAGCGUUGUCCGGAUUCAUUGGGCGUAAAGAGCUCGUAGGCGGCCACUCAAGCCGAAUGUGAAACCUCGAGGCUUAACCUCGAGCCUGCAUUCGAUACUGGGCGGCUAGAGUCUGGUAGGGGGAUCUGGAAUUCCUGGUGUAGCGGUGGAAUGCGCAGAUAUCGGGAGGAACACCAAUGGCGAAGGCAGCUCGCUGGACGGUACGUGACGCUGA